rnacentral:rRNA from 1 species
CAGUCGCCACGGUAAUACGUAGGGUGCAAGCGUUAAUCGGAAUUACUGGGCGUAAAGCGUGCGCAGGCGGUUAUAUAAGACAGAUGUGAAAUCCCCGGGCUCAACCUGGGAACUGCAUUUGUGACUGUAUAGCUAGAGUACGGCAGAGGGGGAUGGAAUUCCGCGUGUAGCAGUGAAAUGCGUAGAUAUGCGGAGGAACACCGAUGGCGAAGGCAAUCCCCUGGGCCUGUACUGACGCUCAUGCACGAAAGCGUGGGGAGCAAACAGGAUUAGAUACCCCUGUAGUCCCUGUCUCUUAACA